AGCAAGGUCAGCUAAAGUUAAGCUUUUGGGCCCAUACCCCCAAAUAUGUUGGUUAAUUCCUUCCCUUGCUA
rnacentral:tRNA from 1 species